GAUGCCAUGCUCAGCAGACAAUAAAUACUUGUAAAUUGAAUUGCAUGAUCUUAGCUCGGGUGCUAUUAAUGUGGCUCCCGGCCACACAUUUGCAUGGAUGAGAAAACUGACGAGCCUCUCCAUAGAGUCUCUCUGAGACAAAAUCGGUUUCAAGUGAAAAUGACGUCGCAGUGGCUCUGAGCUUCCGGCUAGAAGUGACACGUUCUGAGAACAGAAAGGGCUCCUGAUUGCUUAGGCGAACUGUUACAGAAUCUAGGUGGCCGGAAAUACUGAAACGUAGUACUGAAAUAUACUGAAAAGGGGUAUUAAGAAAUAUAAUUGUAUCUGAAACAAAUUCUCUUAGAAGAUACUGAGUUGCUUGGUUCUGUAGGUUUCAAGAAGAGGAAAAUUUUGAGAAGGUAGACUUUGUCCUCAGAGGUCAAGCCCAUUUUGAUUUAGAUGUUAUACGUAUAGAACAUCCUAUGAUAAAUCUAGAAACUAAUUGUUUCGUCCGCUGGCUUGCUCGGACUCUUGUAAAUUAUGGAAGGAGGCCAUCCAAUGUACUUUACAUAAAUUAACCGUGGCCUCACCUUGCACUCCUUCAUCUCUUCUUUGGGUCUAAACUCGCCUCCACCCUCACAUAAAUUAAGGAGAGAAAGGGAAAGGAAAUGUACCAAACAGAACCAGAGGAGUGUGGCUGGGCUGGAGACUCCGAGAGGUGGAAACAUUCUAGGACUGGAGUGACUCACUCUGGCUGGUCCGUGACUCCUCUGAGGUAAAAUGGAAAUACUAACACCUGUACUUCCUAUCUCCACGAGGAGGGUGUGUAUAAUGUGACUGAACAUGGUUUGAAAAGUGUACUGGAAUGGUUGACUAUGAAAACCUUCCCUUUGACAGUUCAGUUGGAUCCAGCUCCUGCUAGCCACUGAAUUAAUUUGUGUUGCUGUGUGUUCAAUGACACAACUUGUUAUCAAGGAAGAAUAAAGGAAUUCUGCAGUUUGUAAUUGCCCACGAAAGUCAGCCCCCAUGGAGUUGCUGUUAUCGCUGUUUGUCGCCUGGGGUUUGGGGGGUCUGUGUUUCCACGCGUGCUUUGACUCUGGGUGGGAAAAGCCCAGACUGUGAUUCUCUCAAACCACUUUAGAUGCACUGGGCAAAGUACCGAGUGGAAGCUUUGACUGUAGCUGUCGUUACUCCGUUGCUUUGCUUUCUAAUUAACUUUGUAUGUCCUUUGCCUCUGCCGGGAACAGAGUGUUCAUAUGCUGUUAGAAUUUUUUUAUUGUAAAAUAAAAUGACAAAGGCUUUCAUACCCCCC
rnacentral:lncRNA from 1 species